CCUUAUUCCUUUUGAAUUCUCCUUCACACCUUUCCUUGACCUCAUGACGUUUACCAUCGAGGUUUUGACUAUUCAACAG